UGGAGGACCGAACCGACUAAUGUUGAAAAAUUAGCGGAUGACCUGUGGCUGGGGGUGAAAGGCCAAUCAAACCGGGAGAUAGCUGGUUCUCCCCGAAAGCUAUUUAGGUAGCGCCUCGUGAAUUCAUCUCCGGGGGUAGAGCACUGUUUCGGCUAGGGGGCCAUCCCGGCUUACCAACCCGAUGCAAACUGCGAAUACCGGAGAAUGUUAUCACGGGAGACACACGGCGGGUGCUAACGUCCGUCGUGAAGAGGGAAACAACCCAGACCGCCAGCUAAGGUCCCAAAGUCAUGGUUAAGUGGGAAACGAUGUGGGAAGGCCCAGACAGCCAGGAUGUUGGCUUAGAAGCAGCCAUCAUUUAAAGAAAGCGUAAUAGCUCACUGGUCGAGUCGGCCUGCGCGGAAGAUGUAACGGGGCUAAACCAUG
rnacentral:rRNA from 1 species